ACAAAAACAUGUCUUUAUGGAGUUGAAUAAAGUCUAUUCUGCCCGCUGAGUGGAAACUUAAAAGGCCGCAGUACCCUGACUGUGCAAAGGUAGCAUAAUCAUUAGUUUUUUAAUUGAAGGCUUGUAUGAAUGAUUGGACAAGAGCUGAACUGUCUUUUUCAGUUUAAUUGAAUUUUAUUUUUAAGUGAAAAAGCUUAAAUGGUUAAGAAAGACGAUAAGACCCUAUAAAUCUUUAUGUAAACCCCUUCUUAAAUUAAAAUAUAAGGUUAAGUAAGUUUAGGAAGUUGGUUCAUUUUACUGGGGCGGUAGAAAUAUAAAAUAUAAACUGUUUUCAAUAUGAAACAGAAAUAUCUGUGAAUAAAAGAUCCUUUAUAUGGAUUAAAAGUGAAAGUUACUUUAGGGAUAACAGCAUAAUUUCUUUUGAGAGUUCUAAUCGAAAAAGAAGCUUGUGACCUCGAUGUUGAAUUAAGAGAUCCUUUACGGUGCAGCAGUUGUAAAAGGAAGUCUGUUCGACUUUUAAAUUCUUACAUGAUCUGAGUUCAAACCCGGACAUGA
rnacentral:rRNA from 1 species